CUUCUUGAUACCCUGACCAUGGAUGGUUGGACCAACUAAGCACUGCCCAGCUCUGAAGAUGCCAUUCUCAGCAAUAUUGUGGUCUUCCUCUGCAGUGUGGUGGUCUUUGCCCCACAAGCCACAGGUCUCUGUGUCUUCACUAAGCUCCUCUAAUGUGCCAGAUGUAACCUCUGACCACCCUGCAAUGACCUGAGUACCCUGGUCACAGCUGAGGUCUCUCAGCCUACAUUGUGCCUUCUGUGCUCUAACUGGACAUUUUACCUGCCUUUGCUGCACCUGUGACACAGCUAAACACCUCCCCAGACACAGGCACAGGCACAGGAGCACAGGGUCCUUCUGCUGGCCUGGACACUGCAGGCCCUCCAAAGGAAGAAAUGCUGAUGAAUGUGAUCCAGGAGGUGGUGCAGUGGAUAAAGCAUUGGAUUCUCAAGUAUGAGGUCCCAAGUUCAAUCCCUGGCAGCACAUGUACCAGAGUGAUGUCUGGUUCUUUCUCUCUUUCCUCCUGUCUUUCUCA